rnacentral:SRP_RNA from 1 species
UGUGCGAGAGGUCCAGGUUGAGAUGCUGGAGAAGCUCCGUGUGAUUAAGGAGGCCAUGGAGAAAGAAGCAGGAGGAGGUGGCGGUUCGGCAUCGUCGAAGGAGAUGGAACGGCUGAAGAAGGAAAACGAACAGCUCAA